UCGGCGUGCCAUCCAGAGAUGGACACGAACAGAACAGCGAAGCAUGUAGGAGAUCUGGGGAAUAUUACGGCUGGUCCUGACGGCAGAGCUUCAUUCCGGCGGCUAGAAGACUCUCAGAUCAAGGCUGGCCUGUGCAAUCAUCGCCUGCUCCGCCAGCUUGCUUCAAAACCCCAAACAGAUCUGUGCCUGUGAUGGUGUGACUCUGUGGGAGGAGAGAGAUCGGCCCGUCGCUGGGAAAAGACGUAAAGUCACCGACGCACCGACUGCUAAUCUGUAAUGGGGUGAGGAUGAGAGACCUUCCCACGGGUCAGGGACUGCAGAUGGACAUGAAUGAAGGAUAAGAGACCAAAAACGUGCCUGUCGUGAAUGUACUGAACGAGAUUCUGAGCCACGUUUUGAUGUAUCCACAGAAAUCAAACCAUGUGUAAAUAUGUACAUGGAUGGUGUGAAAUUUAUCUCCAAUUAUCACAGUGAUUCUGUCAUACUUUAGUAUGUCUGAUUUUACAUACUGCUGCUUUAAGUUCAAAAUCAAAAUGUUAAUUUAGGGGGGAAAAAACCUAAGAGUUAUUAUUAUACCAUGACUGAUUAAAGCAAUAAACCCCGUGAAGCCGUGGUUUACAGUGAAUUUAUAACAGUUAAGGGGCGUUGUUACGACGCGAAACGGAGUCUAAAACCCCCUUAGCUGUUAUAAAUUCACUGUAAACCACGGCUUCACGGGGCUU